CCCGAUGCUAACACGUGCAAACCAAAAAGAAUACGUUGCCAAUUGCCUCACCAAAUGAUUAAUGAUAUCUUUGGGCAUAUUUUUCUUCAAUCACAAGAUUUUACCAAAGAAAAUUCCACCUUAUUUUUCUCUAUCCAUACUAUUGUGUUGAUUUUCGCAUGUUUUGAGUAAGCCACCAUGGUACUGUUCACAAGCCAUUUUUGGUCGAUUGAGAAGCCAAAUUUGUGGUCGGCUAAACUGUUGAUGUUUUUGGGUGGGGAGUCGUCUUUUGGUUUCUAGAAUUCAUUUCCUACCUUGUUUUCCUCUUCCCUCUUUGUAGAUCUGAGAAUCCAAUUGAAUUUGUUCGUUUACAAGUACGAUCCUUCAUAUUCAUUAUUAUUAACGCCUGUGGAGCAUUUCCGAGUUUAGUGAAGGCUAAUUAAAGCUCGAUACAGAUGCAAUCGUAAAAGCAUUUAUUUUUGUUACCCUUUUAAAGGAUUGGAUUCUUGCCCAGGGUUUUGUCUUAAAAUUAAUUUGUAUGAGGUUUUUUUCUUGUACGCUACUUCAGUUCAGGGAAGUGAUUGAUUAUUUAAAUGUCCUUUUUCUGAAUGUGAAGAUUUCUUUGUAAUUUUUGCUUAUGUUUUGAGAACAUAUUCGAAUAAAGCUAUUAUUUUUUCUUUGCA